ensembl:lncRNA
CAGCUAACAGCGGGCCAGGGAGCAUGGGGCCGGGGAGCACCCUCCGCUGCCCCGGACAUUCUUGCUGGGUGUGUCUGAGACUGUUUGAAGCCAUCGCCUUAUGGACACUCGACCUGUGGGAAACCCCAAGGUCUCCCAAUCUCGUAGAAAGGGCACGGCUGGUCUCCCGCACAGCUCGCCUGCAGUCCCGGUCAGCGCUAAGUGUCACACGCACCGGACGCUCGGCCUCCCGCCCCUCGGCACCGCAGCCGGGAGCCGGGGACGCCUCGAGCAGAGUGGGGUCGUGACCCCCCACACAGGGGUCAAGGGGCAUGAUGACGGGCUGCAGGUAAAAACCGUGGAGCUCCGCUUUUCUCGAAAUCCUCUCUCCCGGGGCUGAAGAGGCGCUGGAGACGGGGCCAGCGAGUCAGCCGAUAAGAGGCUGUGAACUUCCCUUCCCACUCUGAGCAGCCCGACCAGGCGGUGGAUUUCAUGAGAACAGCUCUCUCCUGAGCUAUACAUUCAGGUCUUCUACCUCAAAAGGUACGUCCAAAAACGGGAUCCCACUGCUCGGUAAUGCGCAAAAGCAGCACAUCACACCGUGGUCGUUUUCUCUGUCGGGACACCUAAAGUUCCCGGCAUAGUAUUUCAUCACAUGGAUAAAUCAGCAACUUGAAAGCCACGUGUCUACUGACGGUCAAAUGGACAUUUCGCUUGUUAUCCAUUUGUCUAUGGAUUUAAUUUUACUGUUCUUAAUGGCAUUUGAUGGACAUCUUUGCGCACACACACACGUAUCUUUUCGAUCUAGUCUGCAUGUUUACUUGGGACAAAUUCCUGCAAGCAUUGGUCUCUACAGGUCUAAACAGUUUAAAUUUUGGCACGUAUUGCUCUUAAGAAAGGUGGGGGCAACUUAAAAUCCCACUGCCUGUGUCAGAGGGAGCCCGCUCCCCACAGCCUCCACCAGCGCUGUGUAUGGUCCUUAAAAACAGCUCUACCUCUGGGACCCUGACACGUCCCCGCAGCUGAGGGGCUGACUGUGAAGAGGAGGGGCUGGCUCUCGUGCAGCGUGGGGAAGCCAAGUGGUGCAGGCACCAGAGCAAACAGUUCCUCAGAAAAGGGAGCACAAAUGCCGCGUGAUCCGGCCAUUCCAUUCUGAGUAAGACCCAAAGGGUCGAAAAGCAGUGACUCAGAUACUUAGACACACGUGUUCACGCCAGCAUUCGUCACAAGAGCCAAAAGGUGAAGGCAGCCCGUGUCCCUCGAGAGGUGAUGGAUAGAUAAGAUGUGGUCCCUCCCCGCCGAGGAGGACGAUGUGGCCAAAGAAGGGGAUGAAGCACUGACACCUGCUACAACACGGAUGCGCCCAAGGACGUUGUGCUGUCGCUGAGGACAAAGACCGCAUGAUUCCCUGGCCAGGGGGCACCAUUGCGGCGAGAGCCACAGAGACAGCCUCAGAGGGUGGGUGCCGGCACCCAGGGGUGAGCCUGUGGGGAGUCAGCCUGAUGGGGACAGAGUCUCCGUUGAGAAGUUGGAAGCGUUCUGAAGAGGGAGGGUGGCGGCAGCUGCAAAACACCGUGAAUGUACUUGACGCCACCGAGCGAAUGACACCCUUAAAAGCGGUUGAAAUGGUAAAUUUUAUGUUGCGUACCCUUUACCGUAAUUAAAGACAGCACCUGACAGCAGCUGGCACCCGCGAAGGGCGCCUCCCUCACUCCUUGGGGCCCCCCCCCGACCCCGCCGACAAAAGGAGAACCUUAGGGGCGACACGGGAUGGGGGAGCCCCGCCCAUCUCCCACCAUCCGCAGGCCCAGGUGCCGUCGUCUUCAGGAGCCAAGAGGUCAUGCAGGGGACACGCUCCUCAAGAGAGGCCACCAGGCUGCCAACGUGUCAACACGUCUCCACUCAAAGGAGAUAAGAAUGCAGAAGAGGUGUAACUUAAGUGUCAUCUGAAAGCUACCAGGGGCUUAGCCGCAUUUCAAAGGGGACACAGGGUGGGGCCCAGAGACAGGGGCGCACAGACAAUGCGCCAGGACCCGUGAUUAUGACUUAUCAUAUUCCACCCCGAGCAGGAAAAGCACGCAGGCGGGACCGAUAAAUCCCAGGAGAGCCGAGAGCUCGCCCCCAGCAGCAGCUCAAGUGCUGAGUCUCAGUUAACCAACUAACCAAUUAACCGCAGCAAAAGCAGCAGGGCCAGGAGACAAGGGUGAGCCGGAGCCUCGGGCAGCCCCAUGCGGAAGCACGCAGGCGCCCAUGGACUCGGACUCCAGGAAGAGGAAUGACGCAGAGAGCCCAGCUCCCAAGCCUGGUUACUUUAGUCCAAAGAAGAGAAAAGACCUAGACCCCUGAAAGUGCCCCGUGCAAGCGACCUGGCGCCUUCUCUGCAAGUGGCAGAGGAAACAGAAUUCCCACCAUUUGGUAGCAUCUGCCUUCAAAAGCGGCCGCUUUGGCAGCAAACUUUCCCAGCGGGUCGGAGGGCCAGCUGCUCCCCAGGGAGGGCAGCCCUGCUCCUGCUGCCUUCACCCCGGGCCCCAGGGUGGAGAAGCCGGGUCCAGGGUAAGCCCCAUUCCUGCCCUCAUGGAGAUGCAGCCCAGGGGCCGAGGCCCCUACAGGGCAGAGGAAGCGUGCAGUGCGGGGAGUCAGGAGAGACUCCUGGCUAGGAUGCUGCUGAAGCCCCGGGCUGAGGGCAGGAAAGGGUGUGUGUCACACCUUCUGUUGGUCUCUGUCACGAAAGGGGGACCAGCAGAGGCCAGAGGGAGCUGGGAUAGGAGGCACAGCCCCCCGCCCCCCGCCGUGGCAGGAGCACAGAGGCUCGGGGUGGGGAGGGCCAUGGGAAGGAGCCCGAACCAUCUCCAAGGGCCCUCCGGGUGCUCCGGAGAGUUUGAGUCUUCUCUUGAGGACCACGAGAGGCCCUGGGGUGGUUUUAAGAAGAGACCGCGGCUUCCCCAACGCAGGGCCAUGCCUCAGGCUGCGCCGAGGGGUGCGGAUCGGGUACGGCAGGAAGUCCGCCGGGAGGUGACAGGGCAAAGGCCAGGGCGGGGGUCGUGAGGACGCAGAGAUGGCUGGAACUGAGCGAGGCUGAAGGAGGUCCUUAAUGAGCUCCCCCCAAAGGGCCUUACCAGAAUUUCUUCUUUUGCCAGCCUCUGCAUUCUGUCUUAGAAAAGAGGUGACAUAAUUGGUAUUGGGGACCAUAACUUGGGAAAAGAGAGGGAGGCAGAAGCAGCAAAACCAAAGCCCUGUCUCUUCCGCCAGAACUGCCACAGGCUGGCAUGUGGGAAUCGCACUGACCACGUCCCCUCCCCUAAAGUGCAGGAAACGGCAGAGACUUGGCACACGGGGUCACAGGCCUCAGAGUCCAGACCCGCUUUGCUGCUGGGGGGCCUGGCCUGUGCAUCCCUGACCCUGCUGCCAGGUGCAGGCACCCCUGAAGCCUGGACACCCCCGUUGCUCACAUGUGAAUGCAGAGCUCUGCCUGGCAGGGGAGCUGCCUGGAAUGGCUCAAGGGGCAGGGCAGGCGGACACGGCAUCGUGGAAACAUGGGGUCGGAAAGGCAGGGGUCCCCAGGGGGCCAAGCCUUACCUUGGUGAUUCAGAUCAGCAGGGGUUUGGUGGCGGCUACGCAUCCACGUCCGUGUGUCACAGCCCCCAGGUGGCAUUCUGGGGACAAAGCCCAGGAAGAGCGGCCCAGGGCCGGGGGCAGAGCCCGUCUGAUCUCAGGCUCCUCCUGCGGAGGAGCGGGGGAGGCCCUUCCACGGCGAAAGUCAGGGUGAGGGUCAGACCCGCCGAGCCUGCAGCGGCUGAGGCAUCUGAGGAGGCCUGUCCGAAGCCCAGGCAAGGCGGAGAACUGAGAGUGAGCCUGUGGGCGCCAGCCGAUGCCGGGAGGUGACGGACGGGAGCUCGGGGGCACGGAUCCCAUCGCUGCCCCGUGCCACUUGGAGACCCAGGGCCACUGGCUUCCCCCACCUUCAGGGCCGCGGUGUCCCGGUGUGUGAGUGAGGGGCAGUAAAAACCCCCUCCGGAGUUCUGGGGUCUCGGGGGCGGCACAUGGACGGUGUACGGCCCAGAGUCGGCCUCAGAACUGUGGGUUUGUGGUGCCCUCCUCCCUCAGCAUUUGCUGGGUUUUCUGGAAUCAAGAGAUGCCCGAGUGUAGGAAAAAUUAUGAGACCCGCACGGCCCAGCUCUGACCAGCCUUGACUGCUUAAAAACGCCUCUGCUUUAACUCCGCGGAACGCCGAGUGCUUUAACCUUCCAGGUUCUUUAAAUAAACUCUCUCCGCUCCGAAUGCCAUUCUGCUUGGACUGGAACCAAAAGAGAAGCCGCCCCGGGUGCCCAGCCCGCCACACUCAUGGAAUGGGCACGCCCCAGCAUGGCCUCUGCAGCCACCCUCCUGGCCCCCGCACAUCGGCCCUGAGAGAAGGCCGGGGGGAAAGAGCCGGCCGCAGACGUCCUUGGCUUGAUGGAGACAUGGCCUUUUGGUUACACCGCUACUAGAAUGUUCUGCCUGCUGCCAAAGAAGGUCAAGUCAAGACACUUCUCCCCACUUUAGAGAAAACAGUAGUUUCACAGGAAAACCCCAACACAGCCCCUCAUGCACAGGAAGGCAGCCUCCCACCCCUCCGGCGCAUGGGGACGCGGAGGUGGGAGUGAUUUGUGAUUGAAAUGCUCCCUCUUUCAUGUGUAAGAACCUCUUGGAAAAAUGGACCCGAAACAGUGCCGUUCCAAAGGGAGGCUCCUCGAUGGCAGGUCCCUCCCGCCGACUCCAGGGCUGACGCCCCUGCGGGGUCACAGUGCCAACUCUGGGCCAGACACGGGAAGACCCCGCCCCAGGCUCUGUGGCCUCCGGUGUUUUCUGAACCUCGCCGAGCCUACGGUGCCCAUCUCUGCAUCUGCGUCUGAUGCUGCUGUGAGCGUUACAUCAGCCCGCGCCUUCAGAAAGCAGGCACCUGGCCAAGGGCAGAUAAACCACGGCAAUUCACGCUGUGCUUGUCACGCGUGAGGAGCCACCGUAACAGCUUCUCAGUUGUCAGGUCUGUUUGUUCGUUUGUUUUCAGAAUUAUAUCCUUUUAUUUAUUUAUUGCUUUUAGGGCCAUACCUGAGGCAUGUGGGACUUCCCAGGCCAGGGGUCGAAUCCAAGUGGCAACUCAGGCCCACACCACAGCCACAGCGGACCUGAGCCGCAUCGGCAACCUAUGCCCCAACUUGCGGCAACACUGAAUCCACAACCCACUGAGCAAGGCCAGCGAUGGAACCUGCCUCCUCACAGACACUGUUGGGUUCUUAACCCGCCGAGCCACAAGGGGAACGCCCGGAAUUAUAGCCUUUUAUAAACCAGUAAGUCAGCAAGGACGAUGUUCCCCUGAGUCCCGAGAGCCGCUCUAGCCAAUUAACCCAAGGAGGGGAGGCUGUUGGAACUUCCAACCUAUAGCUGGAAGGUCAGAAACACAGGUGGCAGAGUGUAAGGGUUUUUGGAUCUGAAAAAUAAAACCCGUGUGAGACGAUCGCCGCUAUCCUUGCCCCCAGACGGAGAGUCCGAGGCCCAGGGAGGGUGGGUCACGCGCUAAGCUCACCCCGCUGGGCAGCUGUGUCUGCUUACUGGCCACGUCACAUCGCUUCUCGCGUUAGGCGCGUUCCUUCCUCUCCUCCUACGACUCUUCCCAGCUUCUGCCCCCUCCCUCUGCCACACUCCGGCGCUCUGACAGCCCGGCUCGUGGAUGGCCACGUCCUGGCAUCUCUUCCUCCUGGUGCUUGUCACAUGAGUCAGGUGCAUGAACUCGCCUCUCUCUCCUGGACGGACCUGAAGUCAUCUCUCAGGGCUGGGCCUCACGCACAAGCUCCCUGUGAGGUCACCCCUGGUCCCUGCAAUCCGUGUCAUCACUCCGGGGCUCGUCUCGGUGCCUGGGGUCUCUUCUCCCCACUGUAUCGGAUAAUUCUUUCCUUCCACUGAGACUCCAGUCUGUUUUUCAUCCUCGAACCUGGGCUCGGCUACGUGGCGUGCUCUGCCCACCGGGACGGAGCAGACAUGAUGCGAGCGCUUGUGCGGAGGCGCCGCUGUUGGCUGCUCUCAGGCUGCUGAGAAUGUCUGUGAAGGAGCCUGGGCCAGCCUGCUGGACAGCAAGGGCCACAGACGGCCCGAGAUACCCCAGCCAACAGCCCGGCCACCACGCAACAUGUGAAUGAAAACUUCCCACCUCGGGCAGCUCCCAGCUGACCACAAAGUAAGAGAGCGCCCAGCAGCAACCAGCCAGGCCAUCCGAGCCUGGAGGAACCAUGCAACCCCCGCAGGGAACCGUGGCUAAGUAAGUUUGGGGUGGUCUGUUACGCAGCCCUCGCCAACUGGACGCUCAUGCGUCUCCGCUUCCUAGGUCAGGUGCUCAAGGAGGGAAUACAUCUCGGCUCAAUUCAUGGCUGGAUGACUGGACGGGGAGGACGCCAAAGCAAGUCUCAGAGGAAACUUCACCCACAGGGGUCCUGGGAACGCUCCCGUCUCCUCCGUCUCCCAUCCUCUGCGUUCCAGCAACACCGCAGCCUGAGCCAUCAGUCAGCACUCGGCAGCCGCUUCCUGCCGGAUGUGUCGCAUGGACUGAUUAGCAGCGGACCCGUAGCGCUUACUUUGCGGCAGGAACAGUAUGCCCAGAGUGCCUCUGGUUUACAGCAGCCAAGGUCCUUGCCCGCCCCUGGCCUGCAAGUCCACCCUCUGUGGACAGGGAUUUGCAGCCCGUGCUUACUCCUUGGUCUGGAGCACGGCCUGUGUGGGGGCAGGUGGAAAAGACAGGACGGUGAGCUGAGUGUUUUUCACGGGGUCCUGCUUACCUCGCUCUCCCCAGCUUGUGGCACCAUGCCCAGCAGGUGGCAGGUGCUCAGUAAAACUCAGCUGAGUGACUGGAUGGAUGAGUGAAUGAGGUGGCAGGUAGGCGGGGGGCGGGGAGGGUUUGUGGCCCCAAAGCACCUACAAUUCUUUUUUUUUUUUUUUUUGUCUUUUUGUCUUUGCUUGAGCCACUCCCACAGCAUAUGGAGGUUCCCAGGCUAGGGGUCUAAUCAGAGCUGUAGCCACCGGCCUACACCAGAGCCACAGCAACGCAGGAUCCAAGCCACGUCUGCGACCCACACCACAGCUCAUGGCAAUGCCGGAUCCUUAAUCAACUGAGCAAGGGCCAGGUUUGAACCGGCAACCUCAUGGUUCUUAGUCGGAUUCGUUAACCACUGCGCCAUGAUGGGAACUCCAACCUACAAUUCUUUUAUCAGAGGAUUAAUCACAUUGUAUUAUUAAAACCUUUUAUUGU